CGAACGCUGGCGGCGUGCUUAACACAUGCACGUCGCACGGAAAGGCCCUGCUUUUGUGGGGUGCUCGAGUGGCGAACGGGUGAGUAACACGUGAGUAACCUGCCCUUGACUUUGGGAUAACUUCAGGAAACUGGGGCUAAUACCGGAUAGGAGCUCCUGCUGCAUGGUGGGGGUUGGAAAGUUUCGGCGGUUGGGGAUGGACUCGCGGCUUAUCAGCUUGUUGGUGGGGUAGUGGCUUACCAAGGCUUUGACGGGUAGCCGGCCUGAGAGGGUGACCGGCCACAUUGGGACUGAGAUACGGCCCAGACUCCUACGGGAGGCAGCAGUGGGGAAUAUUGCACAAUGGGCGGAAGCCUGAUGCAGCAACGCCGCGUGCGGGAUGACGGCCUUCGGGUUGUAAACCGCUUUCGCCUGUGACGAAGCGUGAGUGACGGUAAUGGGUAAAGAAGCACCGGCUAACUACGUG
rnacentral:rRNA from 1 species